rnacentral:rRNA from 1 species
UACGUAGGCAGCGAGCGUUGUUCGGAGUUACUGGGCGUAAAGGGUGUGUAGGCGGUUGUUUAAGUUUGGGGUGAAAUCUCCCGGCUCAACUGGGAGGGUGCGCCGAAUACUGAAUGACUAGAGUGCGGGAGAGGAGAGUGGAAUUCCUGGUGUAGCGGUGAAAUGCGUAGAUAUCAGGAGGAACACCGGUGGUGUAGACGGCUCUCUGGACCGUAACUGACGCUGAGACACGAAAGCGUGGGUAGCAAACAGG